rnacentral:lncRNA from 1 species
UCUUAACCCUGAUGUAAAGAGUGUAUAUGCUCACUCUUGCACCAAAAGAGGGAACAGAAAGUUUACACAUAGGCAGAACUAGUUCCCAAAUAAUAAAGCAACGAGGGUGAUGCAGCCAAUGGAGAUACACGAUUACAUCAAUGAACGACCAAGACGUUAUCAGAAAGGCACUAGGGAUGCAAAUCAAACAGAGAGAAGACUCUGUUGGCUGCUUUUCAUCAGCUUUGGCAUUCUGUGUAUCAUUCAAGCCACUCUUAAUGUUGCUCUACGUCUAACUUUGAUCUCAAGCAAGGAACAAACCGGCCCAGACUGCAACGCAACUCAUUUGUGUGAUGACGAAAAUCAGGUGACAAUUGUGCAGGAUUGUGAGCGGAGGAUGCCUUGUCACUGCAACAAGUUACAAGAAAGAUUCAACGCCUUGACCGGAGAAAGAGACCAUCUUAGAAAUGAGAAGAGUGAUCUCACCAACAGGAUAAGGAAGCUGGUGGAGGAGAGGGACAAACUGCUAAGGGGUCAGAACAAAUCAAGUCAUCUGUCCUUUGUACAGAUUCUCCUCAUUUCUUUCUCUCUCAUUUCUCUUUCAUUCUGA